CAGUCGAACGAGUUCUGAUUAUUGAAAGGUGCUUGCAUCUUGAUUUAAUUUUGAACGAGUGGCGGACGGGUGAGUAACACGUGGGUAACCUGCCCUUAAGUGGGGGAUAACAUUUGGAAACAGAUGCUAAUACCGCAUAAAUCCAAGAACCGCAUGGUUCUUGGCUGAAAGAUGGCGUAAGCUAUCGCUUUUGGAUGGACCCGCGGCGUAUUAGCUAGUUGGUGAGGUAACGGCUCACCAAGGCAAUGAUACGUAGCCGAACUGAGAGGUUGAUCGGCCACAUUGGGACUGAGACACGGCCCAAACUCCUACGGGAGGCAGCAGUAGGGAAUCUUCCACAAUGGACGCAAGUCUGAUGGAGCAACGCCGCGUGAGUGAAGAAGGCUUUCGGGUCGUAAAACUCUGUUGUUGGAGAAGAAUGGUCGGCAGAGUAACUGUUGUCGGCGUGACGGUAUCCAACCAGAAAGCCACGGCUAACUACGUGCCAGCAGCCGCGGUAAUACGUAGGUGGCAAGCGUUAUCCGGAUUUAUUGGGCGUAAAGCGAGCGCAGGCGGUUUUUUAAGUCUGAUGUGAAAGCCCUCGGCUUAACCGAGGAAGUGCAUCGGAAACUGGGAAACUUGAGUGCAGAAGAGGACAGUGGAACUCCA
rnacentral:rRNA from 2 species